GACGAACGCUGGCGGCGUGCUUAACACAUGCAAGUCGAACGGUGAAGCGCCUUCCUUUUUGGUGGGUGUGGAUGAGUGGCGAACGGGUGAGUAACACGUGAGUAACCUGCCCCCUUCUUCUGGAUAACCGCAUGAAAGUGUGGCUAAUACGGGAUAUUCUGGGUCUGUCGCAUGAUGGGUCUUGGAACGAUAUUGUUUCGGUGGGGGAUGGGCUCGCGGCCUAUCAGCUUGUUGGUGGGGUGAUGGCCUACCAAGGCGGUGAGGGGUAGCCGGCCUGAGAGGGUGGACGGUCACACGGGGAAGGAGAGGCGGAGAAGACUCCGACAGGAGGCAGCAGGGGGGAAUAGUGCACGAGGGGCGCAAGGAUGAUGCAGCGACGCGGCGUGAGAGAUGGAGGCCGUGGGGUUGAGAACCUCUGUCGCGAGUGAAGCAGGCCUGCCUCGUUUGUGGGUGGGUUGACGGUAGCUGGAGAAGAAGCGCCGGCUAACUACGUG
rnacentral:rRNA from 1 species